CUCUGACAGACUAUAAAACCUCUGCAGUCUGACUCCUCUCUGCUCUUCCUGCCUCCUCAGCAUCUCAGAGCAAGUGUUCAACACAGCUGUUUUCCUGACUGCAGAGAUGGCAGUGCCCUGCACAAUCAUCAUGGCUGCUACAGUACUUACAGCCCUUAUGCCACCCAUCUAUUGUUUGGAGGAAACCAGAGAACCCAGCAGAGACCCACGUAGACACAUGGAGAACAUGGAAACUCCACGCAGGGACCUGCCCAUUGUGGUGAGUAACACAUUCUGCCA